AUGAGUCUCCUAUGCUGGAACUACCGCGGGGCUGGCAAACCCGCGACAAUCAACGAGCUUCAUACUCUAACUAAGCGAUUUGCCCCCUCGAUUGUAUGCAUUGUAGAAACUCAGAUCGAGGGCUCCCGUGUGGAGAAUAUGGUAGGAACUCUAGAUUUUAAUAAAAGUUUUGCGGUGAGUAGCUCUGGUAGAAGUGGAGGAUUAGGAAUUUUCUGGAAUGAUGAAAUAAAGUUGAAGAUUAUCGGUUACUCUGAGUAUCAUAUUGAUGUGAUUGUGAAUGGGUUGACGGACACCCGGACAAGAAUCACUUUUGUCUACGGGGAAGCACAAGUGCGAGAAAGAUACAAA
rnacentral:rRNA from 1 species